rnacentral:tRNA from 1 species
GCCCACAUAGCUCAGUCGGUAGAGCAUCAGACUUUUAAAUUAAAAGCAAGCAAAGGAAUCUGAGGGUCGCGGGUUCAAGUCCCCCUGUGGGCG